rnacentral:lncRNA from 1 species
CCAUGCCUGCCCUUCCCUGCAGUGCUUUCUCCCUCCCUUCACUACCCUUAUUUCGCUCUCUCAAUCUCCAUAUCUGUUUCUGGGUUUCCCCUUCUUCUCUCCCUGCUUUUCCCCUCCCUGUCCAUCCCUCACCGGCCCCAGAAUGGGUGUCCCUCCCCUCCUCCCUCCCUGGCUGUAUCUGCCUCUUUCUUAGCUCUCAACCCUGCACCUCUUUCUUUGUAUUCUGCUCACCCUCUCUCGGCCUCUCGAGCAUCUCUCCUCCCCCGCCGGCCUCCGGCCUCCCCCUGCCUCCCCAUUUCCAGCUCAGUCUCCUCCCUCUAGCUCCUCUCCCCUCCUUUCGCCUCACCCGACUGCCCGCCCGGAAAGCCAGGGUUUCUUUCUACCCUGGGGGUCUCCAUACCUCUCGAUCCUCCUCCCCACCAGUCUCCUCUCCGGCUGCAGGCCUCCCCCGUGAUGCUGGGAUGGAGCAAACAUUGAUUUGUGCUGGGAUGGAAUCGGAAUUUUGAUUUCUUUUUUCUUCUCCCAACCCUAAGAAGAAAAAAAUAAUAAAAACACCCCCUCUUGAUAGCCCCCUCCCCCUUCUCAUCCAGCUCCCAGCUUCUCUUCCCUAUCUCCACCCAAGGCAGAUUUUUUCCCCUACACUGUUCUCUUCUCCCCCCACCCCCGGCACCAAUUCACCCCCAGCUGGGGAGAGAGGGGACUCUCCCACAGCUCCCCCGCCUUGUCUUCCCUCUCUGGGUUGGAGCGGUCUCUCCGGAAGAGGAGGGGGCUC